rnacentral:lncRNA from 1 species
UCUAGCAUUUCAGGGAUUUCUGGGAAGACUUAUUUAAUCUACCUUGUCAUGUGCUGACAUUUAAUAAACACCUCACUCCUUUCCAGGUAUUUUUAACAGUGAGCUGCAGAAGAGUAAAUCCCUGGCCAGUUAACAGUAUUGAAAUGACCGAACAGCUUCUCUCUUGAAAAACAAGACUAAUGGAUGGUGUGAGAAGCUUACUCCUCCUGAAUCCCAGCCAGGACCAACUAGACAUUUGGUUGAAGAUGGACGGUGUGUUAAAGAAGUGGAUGGCAUAUAGAAGCAUGGAUUCUGGACAUGGCUGUGCCACUAAGUACAGAAGUAACAUGAGUGAGAAUAUAGAUCAGCACCCCCUUUCUAAAGAAGAGGAAACACACUUCACAUAA